UACGUAGGGUGCAAGCGUUAUCCGGAAUUACUGGGCGUAAAGCGUGCGUAGACGGUAGCGUAAGUCGGGUGUGAAAGCCCCGGGCUCAACCUGGGAAUGGCAUUCGAGACUGCUCUGCUAGGGUGCGGAAGAGGCGAGUGGAAUUCCUGGUGUAGCGGUGAAAUGCGCAGAUAUCAGGAGGAACACCGAUGGCGAAGGCAGCUCGCUGGGACGUGACUGACGCUGAGACGCGAAAGCGUGGGGAGCAAACAGG
rnacentral:rRNA from 1 species